GGGCCGUUAGCUUAGUGGUAGAGCGCCUCAUUUGCAAUGAGGAGGUCGGGAGUUCGAAUCUCCCACGGUCCA
rnacentral:tRNA from 1 species